AACUUUCAGCAACGGAUCUCUUGGCUCUCGCAUCGAUGAAGAACGCAGCGAAAUGCGAUAAGUAAUGUGAAUUGCAGAAUUCAGUGAAUCAUCGAAUCUUUGAACGCACCUUGCGCUCCUUGGUAUUCCGAGGAGCAUGCCUGUUUGAGUGUCAUGGAAUUCUCAACCCACACGUCCUUGUGAUGUUGCGGGCUUGGAUUUGGAGGCUUGCUGGCCCUCUGCGGUCGGCUCCUCUUGAAUGCAUUAGCUUGAUUCCGUGCGGAUCGGCUCUCAGUGUGAUAAUUGUCUACGCUGUGACCGUGAAGCGUUUGGCGAGCUUCUAACCGUCCUGUAUGGGACAACUUCUUGACAUCU
rnacentral:rRNA from 1 species